UAAAGAACCCAUCCCCAUCUUCAGCUUGGGAUUUUGUUGAUGUCUUCUCUUUACAAUGCACGCAGCCCAUUAUCUGAAAAUCUGGUACAGCCUAUAUGUGACUUCAGGCCCACAGCAACGUGGU